rnacentral:rRNA from 1 species
UACGAAGGGGGCUAGCGUUGCUCGGAAUCACUGGGCGUAAAGCGCACGUAGGCGGAUCUUUAAGUCGGGGGUGAAAUCCUGGAGCUCAACUCCAGAACUGCCUUUGAUACUGGGGAUCUCGAGUCCGGGAGAGGUGAGUGGAACUCCGAGUGUAGAGGUGAAAUUCGUAGAUAUUCGGAAGAACACCAGUGGCGAAGGCGGCUCACUGGCCCGGUACUGACGCUGAGGUGCGAAAGCUAGGGGAGCGAACCGG